rnacentral:tRNA from 1 species
AAGAGAAAGGUGUUUCCCUAAAGAAGCCGCUAACUAUCUUUAUUAACAGUUAAAUUCUGUUAUUCUCUUA